rnacentral:rRNA from 1 species
ACACGACUACAUUAGAUACCCGGUAGUCCCAGCCCUAAACGAUGCGCGUUAGGUGUAUCGGUGACCACGAGUCACCGAGGUGCCGAAGGGAAACCGUGAAACGUGCCGCCUGGGAAGUACGGUCGCAAGGCUGAAACUUAAAGGAAUUGGCGGGGGAGCACCGCAACGGGAGGAGCGUGCGGUUCAAUUGGAUUCAACGCCGGACAACUCACCAGGAGCGACGGUUACAUGAAGGCCAGGCUGAUGACCUUGCCUGAUUUUCCG